CUUUUGAGCCAUUUCCAUGUUGCAGAUAUGCCGGAGAAGGCAGCCCUUCACAUGAUGAAGGUCUUUCUGAAGCAUGAGCUUUGGCAUUGGAACAUCUUUCCUGGACAGAACUCGCUUUUGGAGUUGUGCACAUUUGGGAAGUAUUUUUACAAGGAGGUGCUGAGAGCCGUAGCCAUUACAGCAGGUGAGCCUGGGACUUCUGCCCAUGACCUUCAUGAUGAUCCGUGAAGACACGGCUCCCAUCUGACACUGCCCUUGUUUGGAUGGCUAAUCAGAAAGCAUGCACUACUUCUAAAAGCCACUGAGACAACAGCCCAGAGGGAUCCCUUCCCAUGCAACCAGAACUCGCCUCAAAAGCAGCAGACAACUGUGUCCUAAGACCGCUGAGGAGCCCUAGCACCUUCUCACUCAUGUGACUUCCCUGGGCUAGCAGCCACACACUGGACAUGGUGAACAUGGAGGGAAAAGAAACAAAUAGGGCAACUAUCGUUUUUUUUUUUUUCCUUUCAUUCCUUCCAUCCUCAGCAGUGAGAUGGGGGCAGAGUGUUGGUAGGAAGUGCCUACGUUAGGAGGGGAAAGAAGAAUGGUUGGUUUUAUGGAACAUUUCCAUUGUUCCAGCAGGGAAUGAAGUCUAUAUGUGUGCAUGAGCUCUGAAAUACAAACUGUGCCAUUUUGAUGAUUCCAAAAUAUAAGUAGUCUUACAUGUGCAUUUAAAACUGGCAUUGCAUACGAUAGAGAUCGGUGCUAGAAUUCAUGCUGAUAAUUUAGAUUAUGUAUUUAUUACUAUGCUAAUAUUUAGGACAGCAUGCCCUAGGAAAUAAAAAGCGUUACAAGUCAUCAAAAUGGCACAGAAGAAAGCCAAUUAGUACCUUUUUCACAUUUGAGUACGUUUUUCCUGCUUUUUUUGAACAAAGGGUUUCAUAUUUUCAUUUUUGCACUGGCCUUAUAAAUCAUCUAGCUGGGGGUAUUUUAAAAAGGGGAGUUGGGGAGGCAGAAGGAGAACUGUUGAGGUAUUUUUCAGCUAGGGUCUGACUUCCCUGGGGUGUGUUGUUCCCACAAGGAUCCCUUUAAGGCCCCUUGGUAACCUGCAAAUAGCUUUGUGAUUAGCUGAGAAAACGACAUGCACAUCCACCAGCAUCCGAAGCUCACAGGCCAGGGUUUGCUAGAUUUCAGGCCUGACAGAAAAUUCCACUUCAGAGGAAAGGGAGACUGAUGCUGAAAACCCACAUUAUGCAGCUGGUCAUGGCCAGCCAGAACUCAGGCCUGAGACCAGGCUGGUGCCUUGUUUUGAACUGCAAGAAUAGAGCAGUGUUGUCGUUUUUCUUCCAGGGAUCAAAAUCAGACAAAUCUCCUAUUUGGCUUUCCAGGCAAUAAGUGGAUAACGCCAGUGAAUGUCAGUGCAAAUUACAGCUCUAGCCUCCUGUCGUCAGCUCUGUGCUGCUGCUUGUCACUUUAAUGCAAAGAGACAGCACCGGGCUGAUAACAAGCCAGAAGGGUGGGGGAUGGAUGUCAGGGACAGGGAAAACCAGUGUCUGAGAGACUGAUUCAAGGCAUAAAAACCCACAGUGAUGCUUUUUCUUGAUUGCCUGUGUAAGGGCAUUGGAUGUCUGGACAGAGCCUCCUGGAUAUCCACAAAACUGAGCACAGGACUCAUCAGUCAUUUGCCCACCCACCCAUCAUCCAUCCAUCCAUCCAUCCAUCCAUCCAUCCAUCCAUCCAUCCAUCCAUCCUCAUCUGUAAAUAAGCAAUGGAUGAACAUCUUGGUACACGGGAAUCCCAAGGGAUUCAUGGGUCUUCCAUAUCCUUGCCACAGGUACUUUCUCGGCAUUGCUUGUAAGCAGAAGUUUGAAGAACUCUUGGGAGGAAACAUCUCUCUUUCUAAGCAAAGCACAAGGGCCUCGGGGGGCUUUUAAUUUUGUCAAAAAAGAGCCCCAUGACUGCUCAAAAACUCUUGAUUCUGUUCUAUGCAAUUGCAUUUUCUAAAUCAGUGGGUGAAAGUUACUGUCUCAGAGGCCCUCAACUGAGAGAUAAGAUCUCCCAGGCAGCCAGUUGAAGAAAGAGGGAUUCUCACAUUUUGUCUGCCAGAAUUUGAGUAUGUCCAUCUGUCUUGGAGGGAACCUGCAAGGUCAGCUCACAAAAAUAUGCAGCCUCUGCUUGCUUUAUCUUCCACCCACCUACACAUUUGAGGAACUGAUACAAUCAAGAUAAUGAAGGUCCGGGGAUUUAGGUUAGUUGGUCAAGUGCUUGCCUUGCAUGAACAAGGCCAUGGGUUUGAUCCCCAGCACCACACACACACACACACACACACACACACACACACACACACACAAAGACAAUGAGAAUCCCAUUGUCUUUGCUGACAAAUGGUUCUGAGAAUUGGAAAAGAGAUCAAGAGGGACACACCUGUAGAUCUUCUUAGGCUCUCUCAAUGACAUCGCAUCUCGGUAAUGGCUGAUGAGGCCCCAUAUGCCCUCCACUUAGGAACUUGGGCACAACACCAUUUUCAUGGGACAUGGGAUCUAGAUUCCAAGCAGUCACCAGGGGCUGGAUACAGCAAGGGAGGUAACCCCCCAUGAUGGGAACUUGACCUGGGAUAUAGGAGAGUGGUGGGAGGAGAUAAACUCCCCAACUUCUUUUCUCCUGUGGAUGACUCUGGAGCAUUAAUCCUCCCUGCAGCUUUUUGGCCUCACUUUAUUUUCCCACAUUUCCCUGCCCUGCACCUUCUAAACAAAUGAUUAGGACUCCAAUCUUUGCUCAGGUCCUGUUUGUUUGUUUUUUUUUUCUCAUAAUUGAGUUCGUGUUUCCUUGAACACCCUUGAAUAUGUUUAUUUGUAAGAUUUAUAAUAGAUCAAAGCAGUAAAUAAUAUUUGUGCAGCACCUACGAAGUACUCCCUAAAUACUUGCAAAUACAUACAAACUAGUUAUGAAACUUGGAAAACUUAUUCAGAAGAACAAGAAGCAGACCCCAAAGACAUCAAGGAAGCCAGGGAGAGAGUGGGAGUGAAAUAGUUGACACUGAGAAAUGGCUGGCGAGGGCAAGAAGGCAAUGAGGACAGCAGACAGUGUCAUCAGGCCUCCUGGGGACAAAUGAGGAAAAGAGGGGCUUCGAUGUUUCUUGAGAUGUUUGGUCUAGAUCCCAGGCUCCCAGCUUGAUCCCCAACUCAGGAAAGAUUUCCACUUUGGGGAUUUAGCUUAUACAGUGUUUUCUAUGUUUACAGUGGAAGUAAUUGAAGAGUGAGGGUGAAAGAAAUUUUUUUGUGCCGGUGUGUGAGUUAUUUAUUGCUGCACAAUAAAUUAUUCCAUAACUUGGUUUAAACAAUAACAAUCAAUUAUAGCAUCUGUAGGUCAGGAAUUCAGGAGCACUUUUCCUGAGUAGUCAGGCUCAGGUUUCUGAUGAGGUUAAGGUCAAGUGUCAGCUAGGGCUGCUGUCAACUGAAGGCUUGACUGAAUCCAGCUCCAGACGGUUCCCCCACAGGACUAUUGGCAGGACCUUACUAGCUGUCUUUGAGAGCCUCUGCUUAGGGCAGCUGGAGUGUUGUUCUCAGGUCAUGGCAGCUGGCAUCCCCUUGAGCAAGCAAUUCAAGAGACCAACACAGAAGCCACAGUGCCUUUGUGACUUACUUUAUCUCUCUACUCCAUUCUAGUAGUCACCCAGAAAUCCCGGAUUCAAUGCAGGAAGAGCCGACCCAAGGGUAUGGCGACCAGGAAGUCAGAAUCUUGUAGGAAGAGGAACAUUAUUGGAGACUGGACCACAACCUGCUGGGAGAAUGCUUAGAGAGAUCUGUUUAGCAUCCUUAGGUAGGAGCUGAGAAACCAAAGACCAGAGUUUAAGGUUCUCACUUAAUGAUUCAGGAUUUAACAGUGCCUGCAGGAACCACAUCUCACCAAGUCAUUUAAGAAAUGGGACCCAUGGUCAACCAGCAUCUCCAUGCAGAUGAAGAAGGAAGUCAGGCGUAAUGCUUUAAACAAGAGCCAUGGAAAGAAUCGUUGCAAGGCAGAUUAUAGGAGUUCAUUCAGUCAUUUAUUCAAAACAUGAGUUGAGUUUACUUCAUACCUGGCACUGUGCUAGACACAAAGGCAGGCAGAGGUAAGCAAAAACACACUCCUGCUCUUGGUACUGGGGAACACAGACACUAGUGGAAUGGUCCCGCUCACAAUGGAAAUACUACAACUGUGACAAGGGCUUUGAAGGGGAGGUUGAAGCACCGUGACAGCACAGAGUAUUGUUUAUUUCGGCCAUCAACGCUCCUCCAAGGAAGUGGUGAUUCAAUUAUUACCUGAAAGCCCAAAAGUGUGUUCCGGUAUCAAGGAGAUAAUGAUUUCUGUUCAUGAUGUGUUUUUUCAGAUAUUGUAUUUUCCACCUCCAGAAGUUCCAUUUGAGUUUUCUUUUAUAUCUUUUAUUUCUCUCAUAAUUGAGUUCAUGUUUCCUUGAACAUCCUUGAAUAUGUUUAUUUGUAAGAUUUAUAAUAGCUAUUUUAAUGUUCCCCCGUCUGCUAGCUUCAUCAUCUCUGCCAUUUCUGGGCCUUUUCCUAUUUUUCCCCCCUACCUAUGAGUCAUAUGUUCAUGCUGUUUUGCAUGCCUGGUAAUUUUCUAUUGAAAGCCACAUAAUGGGAAUUUUAUAGUGUCAGGUGUUGGAUUUUGUUUUAUUCCUUUAAAGAGUGUGGAGAUUUGUUCUGGCACAUAGUUACUUGGGAACAGUUUGAUUUUUCGGGGCUUGCUUUUAAACUUUGUUAUGGCAAGUCCCCAAAACUUUUAGUGUGGACUAAUUUAGCCCUAAUAUUAAGACACUGCCCUUCUGAAGAUGCUACCAAUACACAAUUGUCAGGUCUUUCCAUUUCAACUGGUGAGAAUACUAAUUAUUCCUGAUCCUGAAAGGUCUCUAGGAAUUGCUCUGUCUGCUUCUUUCCAGGUGGUUCUCUUGCCUGCCUUGAGGAAUUUCUUCAACUUAUGCACUGAUUAGAGUUCAAAGAUUUGAGAUUUUUACCUGGUAGUCCCAGGAGUUGUCUUUCUGCAUAUGGAACUCCCUCCUCUCUGAUACUCUGCCCUGAAAACCUCCCAGAACUUUGAACUUUAUCUCCUCAGCUCUGCAAGACCUUUGAGCUCCACUGGGGCACUCUGUAGGCCAUGAGUGGGUGCCAUUAUAAGGCUUGCUCACUUUCCCUUUUGUCAGGGAUCACAGCCUUGCAUUGACUGCUAAUGUUGAAAAUCACUAUUUCAUAUGCUUGUCUGGUUUUCUGUCUGUUGGAGGUGGGUAUAAAUCUAAUCCCCAAUACUGCAUCAUUGUAUAUUUUUUUAUUUCUUUUCAAAAAUAUUUAAAUAGCUUAAUUAAGGCAUGAUUAAUAAACUGCAUGCAUGUGUAAAGUGUUCAAAUGAUGAGGUUUUUGUUAAUAUUUAUUGUUUAGUUUUAGGUGAACACAAUAUUUUUAUUUUACAUUUACAUAGUGCAGAGGAUCAAACCCAGUGCCUCAUACAGGCUAGGUGAGCACAAUACCACUGAGCCACAUCCCUAGCCCCAAAUGAUGAGUUUUAACACAUGUAUACAUUCAUGAAACCAUCAAAUUCAAGAAAGUGAACAUAUCCAUCACCCCUGAAAAUAUCUUUAGGCCCCUUUGAAAUUUCUCCCCCUGGCUUUCUGGACCCUCCUCUCAAGGCAACCACCAAUUUGCUUUUAGUCACAAGAAAUUAAAUUUCUAAAGUUUUACAUAAAUAAAAUCAUAUAAUAUGGUUCCUUUUUUAAUCUGGAUUUUUUACGUAGCAUAAUUGUUUUAAUAUAUUCGUGUUGUUUGUAUCAGUCGUUUCUCCUUUUCUUACUGAUGAGUAGCAUUCCAUUGUAUAUAAACCCACCCCAAUUUGUCCAUUUUGUUUACAUUUUACCAUAUUUAUUUAUUUAUUACUAACAGAUAUAUGGAUUGUUUCUACCUUUGGGUUAUUACAAAUAAAGUGAUUCUGAGCAUUCAUGUAAAAGCUUUUGUAUGGACAUAUAUUUUCUUUUUUCUUGGGUAAAUACCUAGGAAUGGAAUGACUGGACCAUAUGGUAGGUAUGUAAGUGUAACUUUUAAGGAUCCUGUCAAACUUUUCAAUGGCUUUGGUUUUAAAGCCAGUUUUUAUUUGUUUGUUUGGGGCUCCAUGUUACAGUAGGGUAAAUCUGUGAGACAUUUGGAUGUAAAUGUUCAACUUCUUUUAUUCUGAAGCAGUAAGCAUGCUGUGGCAACUGUCACUUUGACAGGCACAGUGCUAGCCCCCACCAGCAUGGAAAGUGGACUUUGACCAUAAGAUGGACAGUAGAGAGAGAAAAGUCAGGACCUUGGACUU